rnacentral:piRNA from 1 species
GAAUAACCACCAUUUACUCAGGUUUUC